CAACUUGAGGCCAUUCCCUCUAGUCCUAUCACUAUUUACCUGUGAGAAGAGGCUGACCCCUGCUACCCACAACUUCCAUUGUAAAAUGAAAGCACUGCAUGCUUUGCUUUAAGACGGAGGAAGCCAGCAACAUAGCAGCAGAAGGGACCAAGGAAGGUGGCGAGGCCCUCACCUUGCUCCCUGCUCUCCUGGCAGGUUUGACUCUCUGAAUUACUUGGCUGGAUAGUACAGCUGUGGGGAGCCUCAGGCAGUGCCAUGGGGUGCAGGAGAGGUGAGGCUGUGAGUGUUGUGAAGGCAAGGGGCUGCCUUACCCUCCCCGGCCACCAUGUUUGCCUGCGGGCCUGUGUCGCUGUGGGCCCUGAAGGGGAGCAACCUCUGGGAAGCGGACAUCACCCUCCUGGAUCUGGGCUGUUGUCAUUUUUUGGCACAACAGGCACCCUCCUAACUUCUCUGAGGAAGAUCUACUUGAAAAAAAGAGUGCCCUUCGAACAUUAGUUUCCCCAACCCUGAGCGGAGUCCUAUCAUAACCUUGACAUCCGUGGUAGGGAAGAGUUUCUUGUGCAGGUAGGUAGUGUGGGGCAUUUCUGCUUUUGUCUCUAACAGUAAUUUAAGCAGUAGAGAAAAGCUGUAGUAAGAGAGACAAUUGGGUUUUAGGUGGAAUGGAAAGAGUGAAGAUAUUUGCCUUUUUCCUCAAUCUCUGACUCCAGUUAACACGCAGUUUUCUGAUAGUCAUACUGUCAAAACUAAGGAUUCAGGCACGGGACUGAGUUAUGACAUUUCUGCACAUCUUUCUGUGUACUCUUAGCUCAGGGCAAAUGCAAGGGAAGUUGAUAUAACAAAGGGUGCUUCAGCAGUUUCCUUACAUUGCAUUUUACCUGGUAUUAGAGCAUACCCACCAGCUACUUUUAGUGCUCAUCUAAUCCAUGAUAACUUGGUUGCAUGUCUAAGGUGUCACCUCUGGAAAAGACAGAGAAAAAUAUAUUUUACAUGCAUGGUAAAGUGCAGAAAUAUAAAUGUUUUAUGCUACAAUUUUCCAUUAUAAUUUUUCUCUUAACAGAAGAAAAGGGGAAAAGUCAAGAAACCGCUGGAUUUACUUUAUAAUAGUUACAUUUUAAAAGUCAUUCUGACUUUUCUAAAUACUACUUGCAACAUUCCCUGUGAAGCCGUAAUUCCACAUUGCUUAGAAAUUAUGUAGUAUGUGAGAGCAGAUUUGGAGUUUCUACCACAUAUCCUUUGUGUAUGGAAAUCUUGAGAUUUCAGUAAUGCUUUAAGGAAAGACAGAAUUCAGCUGGUAUUUCAGCAAAGGGGAGUUCUGAGGUGCAGGAGAAAGAGGAACCUACUUGAUUUAUAUGAUGGCUUGCUUUCCAAUUGCCUUGUUACACUACUGCUAGAGAUCUAAGAACGAGGAUGAGAUUAAUUUUUGUAUUAUUUGCAGUAAAAUAAAUAAGAAAUUAUUUUUUAAUAUCA
rnacentral:lncRNA from 1 species